rnacentral:lncRNA from 1 species
GGAGUGGUGUCCGUCGCCGCUGGAAGAAAGAUCCAAGGCAGCCUGGGGAUGAACGCGCUCAGUGCUACCGCAGCAGGCGUUGGCACAAGUAUGAUAAUUGCUGAAGAAAUAUCCCUGUACGAAAGCGCCGUGUGGAGGUCUCCCUAUGAAACUGUAUUUACGGGGCUGCUGACGGGGAUGCUGCUCCUCUCCCUGGGGGGGGGCUUCACCGCCUUGGCCCUCGCCGUCUCUGCCUGCAGGGCCGCCUGCUCCGUCAGCAAGGUGAGCGCACUGGCUCCCUAGGUUGUCGUUCUUGUUUGGUUGCUCCCUCUCCCUCUCUCUCUGCCUGUGUGUGUGUGUGUGUGUGUGUGCGUGUGUGCGU